CGCCUAACGACUCCGCUACCCAGGCGCCCAAGAGCACUGUAUUUUUUAAAACAGUCUAAGGAAGAACAUCACAGAGAUGAAGUACCCUUCUCAUCACAUUCUAUCAGGAUACACGCUAUCAACAUGACUUAUCACCGGUGAUGUUAAACUUGAUUACCUGGUUCAGUAGGUACUGUUACUGUCCCAGUUCUACAGUGGAGAAACUGAAGUGCCGAGUGAUGAGUUUGCCGCUUGCUACGCAGCAAGUGGCUGAGCAGCCAUCAGAGUCCGCUAUGCUCUACCUCCUGAGCAAGCUUUCGUCUUUUUCUGAGGGUUCCGGAGACAACGUGGAGUCGUGAUUCCGUUCAUCAGUCUUAGGUGUUCUGCAGAUGCACGGACAUGCACAAAACCAGGUUGUGAUUUACUGAACAAAACCAGGUUGUGAUUUACUGAACACAAAACCAGGUUGUGAUUUACUGAACACCGAGUAACCAAGAGUUUUGUUUCUUUGUGGUUAUCUUGAGUUGCCACAUUUUCUACAAUGAAUAUUUAUGAAUUUUCUGUUAAGUAAAAGCUACAAGCAUCGUACACACACACAGAAUAACAGUACCUGGCUAUACCUCCUCACCAGAGAUUCCCCUUCCAUGUCUAACAUUGGGAGAUGAGGGUUUAAUUUUAAUAAGGUAAAAGGGAAGUUUUUCUUAUACUUGAUACAUUUCCUUAUUUUUUUGAUAAGAAGAACCUUCUAUAUCUCCCAUUUCCCUCUUAGGAAGUUCAACGUAACAAUUGCACAGGUCCUUAUGACCAACUCAAGCAUUUUCUUGGUCAUAAUUUAACUCACUUUUAAAAUAUUAACUCUAAUUUGGGUCUCAGAAUAUGACAUAAUGAACGAAUGUGGACCUCCCUCUUGCUGUAAACAGAUUAAAAUAUAGAUUUUUUUAAGUUCAAAUCCAAGGCCAAGCUCAAAAUAAAGAAUUUCUCCAAGUGCCAAAAUGAAGGAAAACUCUGUUAUCAGAGUGGUGCUCAUGCAAGUCACUACCACGAUGGCCCAGGAGUCCGUGGAUCUGGAUAUUAGCCCAAACACGUCACUGGCCACGGUGGGAUAGGAGACCAAGGCCUCCGGUCACAAUUGGUGGGGGGUUGAACCUGACCCCUGGAUAAACCUGGGGUAUGGAAUGGCUGCGAUUAGGGGACCAAAAAACAUUGCCCACCUGCCCAGGCAUGGGAGUUUAUCUUGUCAGGGCUCGGGGUGAAAGAAAAAAGACCAACUUGAGAAGUUCAACCCCCAAAUUUACUCCUCCUGCUUGUUGUGGUAAUACAGAGUGAUCCAUUAACGUAAGAACUAAUCACAGGCAGUUGAAAUAUUUGGGUAUUCCACAGAAGCAAACUCAGACCUGCUCUGGGGGGGUUUGUUUGCACAUGUCAGAGCUCACAGGACAUAUGCCUGUUUGCACACACGCACGCGUGCACACACGCACGCACACGCACCUGGAAAAGAUGCGCUCAUGUGGGGAAUUGAUACAGCACUAGAGAAGAUCAGCAGACACAGCGUCGAAAGAAUGAGUGCCCCUGAGAACUUGAGAUAACUACGCAAUGUGAGAAACGACCCUGAGGAAAAACAGUAGACCUGACGAAAUACAUAGAUAUUCAGGUGGAGGAAGGACCCUGGAUGCUGGGCAGGAGACAAACCUGAUGCACGCUUGAGGGGUUUGCUUUGUCAGCUCAGGUCUUCGUAAACUGAGUGUUCUUUAAGUAGAGCCGUGCACAGAGCGCCAUCUGGAAGGAUGCGGGAAUGCCUUUGGGCAGCGCUGACAAAAGAAGCCACCCCUUUCUAGAAGGCUGGACAAAGAUAGACUCAGACCCCGGAAACCCCUAUGACCUGGAAGAAUCCUCCACAGCACUCUGGCCCCCAGGGCAUGGCAGACCACUGGACGUCGGCACAGGACGCUGGGUUAAGUGGUUGAGGAAAGAUGAAAAGAACUAAAAAUAAGUGCUGGGAGCAGAGACAUAGCUGAGCUGACCAGACAGCUGCCCACUUAGUCCUGUGCCGCGUGGAGCAGUCUGCUGGGUUAGCAAGGGCAGUCUCAGAAACUGAGGACAGGAAGUUGAGGCUGUGUGCCUGCGACACUUUCCUCAAGAGGAGAGGAUGUUUGUAAGGAGAGAAGACUCAACACUACACGGGUUCUGCUGCAUAUAAUGUGACUGUGCCUCAGUUAGCUGCGUCAUUGGGUCCCUGGGACAAAACGACCUGCCGCUUGUUUUCUUAUUCAUCCUUCAAGACAUGGCUGCAAAGUCUCCUCUUGGAGAAACCUCUCUGCCUGCCCCCAUCCCAGGUACGGUUGUGCCCCUUCCUCAGUGUGUCUUUGGUUCAUGUCCACAGAGUGUCUGUCUGGUCACCCUAACAAAAAGGCCCAGUGACCUAGCAUGACUUUGGCCCAUGAGGCCAAAUGAUGGGCUGUCCAGACAAGCAAGGCUCCCGCACUCCACGCAUUAUUCACUUGGUGCCCUACAGGCAGGGGUUAAGUCAGUUGCACUAAUAGAAAUUGAUACACAUACAGUUGAUGCCAAUCGGGCAAACUGAAUCAAUUAAGAAAAAUCACAACUCAGGGGAGCCUGGGUGGCUCAGUCGGUUAAGCGUCUGCCUUCAGCUCAGGUCAUGAUCCCAGGGUCCUGGGAGUGAACCCCC